rnacentral:misc_RNA from 1 species
AAAGUUAAUAAUAAAACGUUUAACCCGCGUGUCCUCCACUGAAAUGGGAGACGAAGUCAAAAAGUUAGAAUCUUGGUCAGGGGACUGGGGACUACCUUCAAUCGAUUAUAACUGUCUAGCAAUUGAGGCAUAUUGUAGAUUUUCGGGAAUACCACUCAAAGUAACCCAAGGGAACAAUCCAUUGAAAUCGCCAUCAGGUAUAACAAAAUAUCUUAAGUUUAGGAGUAUUUCCCCGAUCUUCAGGUAUUUAACUUGAAAGGACAUUUAUUUUCAAUUAAAACUCAUUUAAAUUUCCUUUUUAGGUUCAUUGCCAGUGUUCAGAGAUGGAAACACAACAAAAUGUGAUAUCAUCAAAAUUUUUGAUUACUUGAAGGAACAGGUAUUUGAGAUAUGUUUCAUAUUAUUGCUUGUUCCGAACAGUUCGCUCAUUUGCAAAAACUAAACAUUUCUAUCUCAAAUGCCCUUCAUAUGUUAACGAGGUUUAGAAUUUUCUAUAUAUUUUCUAUUUUAGUAUGGUAAGUUAAACCUUAAUAUCUUGAAUUUUCUGAUAAGUUGAAGUUUUUCAUAGUACCAUCAAGUUUCAGGAUAAAGAGGUUUGACUGUCACUUUUAAUUUUUCUUUUAACAUUGCAUGAUCAAUGCUACAUGUAUUAAAUAUAUGUUUUGAAUUUCUUUUAAAAAUUUUGAUUUUUGUUUGUUUGAAAUCUUAUUUGUUUGCAUUAAAAUUGUUUUAAUUACAGAACUGUGGAAAUGAUGUCUCAAUGAGCAGAAAGAUUCAGGCUGACAACAAAGCAUACAUAUGCCUAUUGGAGGAAAAAUUAAAACCGGCAUUUUUACACAGCUGGUGGUUAGAUGCCAAUGCAUAUACUGAAACCACGCGCCCACUAUUUGCCAAAGCCUCUGGGUUUCCUCUCAGUUUAUAUGUGACAAAGAAAAUGCAGUCAUCAGCAUCAGAUGCUGUGUACACACCACUGCAGAAACAAGAUAUUACAGAACAAGAGAUUGAUAAAUUGAUUUACAAGGAUGCAAAAGAAUGCAUAAAUCAUUUAUCUAACAAGCUGGGUGAUCAAGAUUUUUUCUUUGGAGAUAGUCCAACUUCUUUAGAUGCCAUGGUAUUUGGGUACAUUGCACCUCUCAUUAAGGGACCACUGAUCUCUUGUCAGCUGGUCAAACACAUCAACGGCUUCUCAAAUCUCUGUAACCACACCAACAGAAUAUUGUCCAGGUUCUUCCCACCAACUCCAGAGGAUAUGGAAAGACAGCGUCAGAAAGAGAAAGAAAAGAAUGAAGCAAUGAAAAAUGACUUGGAUUUUCCAAACAAAACGCGCAAUAUGGUUUUAGCUGGAGUGUUUGCCCUGUCGGCCAUGAUGGCAUUUGCCUAUUCAUCUGGAGCUGUCAGAAUCCAAGACACAAAUAAUGACAUGAACAUAUACGAUUUAGAUGAGGAUACAGAGGAGGAUAUGUCAUAAAUUCUUGUCUCUAAGAGGAAUAUUAACGUGGAUGUAAAUGCAGUAUUUCAUGUGUGUCAGUUCAUUGGACAGUAUUGAUAUUAUGAACCAACCAAGAAAAAUUUACCAUUGGUAAGACAAGAUCAUAUAGAUAGGUCUCAAACUUCUUUAUUUCACUUUUGAUACAUGUAACAUUAUUGGCAAGAAUAUCUGCUUUUGAUGCAUGUAAAAGUAUAGGCAAUAAUAUUUAAUGUUAACAGGUAAAAGCAUUUGAGAUCCAAAUGUAUACAUAAGCACCUUGUUGAAAGUCAAAGGAAAAAACUCUGAAUUAUUUUAAAUAAGUCCAUUCUUUGUUGAAAAAUUACACAGUACAUAUAUUUAGACAUGUAAAAUGAAAAAUUCAAAUAGUAAAUUUGGUUGCUCAUAUGAUGUUGUGAAGUAGAAAAAUAAAAAUCAUUGAAG